UACGAAGGGGGCUAGCGUUGCUCGGAUUGACUGGGCGUAAAGGGCGCGUAGGCGGUUUGUACAGUCAGACGUGAAAUUCCUGGGCUCAACCUGGGGGCUGCGUUUGAUACGUGCAGACUUGAGUUCGGAAGAGGGUCGUGGAAUUCCCAGUGUAGAGGUGAAAUUCGUAGAUAUCGGGAGGAACACCAGUGGCGAAGGCGACUUCCUGGCCUGUUCUUGACGCUGAGGCGCGAAAGCUAGGGGAGCAAACGGG
rnacentral:rRNA from 1 species